GACGAACGCUGGCGGCGUGCUUAACACACGCAAGUCGAACGCUGAAGCUCAGCUUUUGUUGGGUGGAUGAGUGGCGAACGGGUGAGUAACACGUGAGUAACCUGCCCCCUUCUUUGGGAUAACGCCCGGAAACGGGUGCUAAUACUGGAUAUUCACUGGUCUUCGCAUGGGGGUUGGUGGAAAGGGUUUUUCUGGUGGGGGAUGGGCUCGCGGCCUAUCAGCUUGUUGGUGGGGUGAUGGCCUACCAAGGCUUUGACGGGUAGCCGGCCUGAGAGGGUGACCGGUCACAUUGGGACUGAGAUACGGCCCAGACUCCUACGGGAGGCAGCAGUGGGGAAUAUUGCACAAUGGGCGCAAGCCUGAUGCAGCGACGCCGCGUGAGGGAUGGAGGCCUUCGGGUUGUGAACCUCUUUCGCUCAUGGUCAAGCCGCAACAAUGGUUGUGGUGAGGGUAGUGGGUAAAGAAGCGCCGGCUAACUACGUG
rnacentral:rRNA from 1 species